rnacentral:rRNA from 1 species
GACGAACGCUGGCGGCGUGCUUAACACAUGCAAGUCGAACGGAAAGGCCCUGCUUUUGUGGGGUGCUCGAGUGGCGAACGGGUGAGUAACACGUGAGUAACCUGCCCUUGACUUUGGGAUAACUUCAGGAAACUGGGGCUAAUACCGGAUAGGAGCUCCUGCUGCAUGGUGGGGGUUGUAAAGUUUCGGCGGUUGGGGAUGUACUCGCGGGUUAUCAGCUUGUUGGUGGGGUAGUGGCUUACCAAGGCUUUGACGGGUAGCCGGCCUGAGAGGGUGACCGGCCACAUUGGGACUGAGAUACGGACCAGACUCCAACGGGAGGCAGCAGUGGGGAAUAUUGCACAAUGGGCGGAAGCAUGAUGCAGCAACGCCGCGUGCGGGAUGACGGCCUUCGGGUUGUAAACCGCUUUCGCAUGUGACGAAGCGUGAGUGACGGUAAUGGGUAAAGAAGCACCGGCUAACUACGUG